GGUGGCGUGUCCGAGCGGCCAAAGGUACGCGUCUCGAAAGCGCGUGAGGGCGAAAGUUCUCCGUGGGUUCAAAUCCCACCGCCACCG
rnacentral:tRNA from 1 species